GAUCAUGGCUCAGGAUGAACGCUAGCUACAGGCUUAACACAUGCAAGUCGAGGGGAAACGACAUCGAAAGCUUGCUUUUGAUGGGCGUCGACCGGCGCACGUGUGAGUAACGCGUAUCCAACCUGCCCAUCACUUGGGAAUAACCUUGCGAAAGUAAGACUAAUGCCCAAUGGUACCCCACGAAGGCAUCCGAAUGGGAUUAAAGAUUUAUCGGUGAUGGAUGGGGAUGCAU
rnacentral:rRNA from 1 species